GAUGAACGCUGGCGGCGUGCCUAAUACACGCGAGUCGAGCGAACAGAUGAGGAGCUUGCUCCUCUGACGUUAGCGGCGGACGGGUGAGUAACACGUGGAUAACCUACCUAUAAGACUGGGAUAACUUCGGGAAACCGGAGCUAAUACCGGAUAAUAUAUUGAACCGCAUGGUUCAAUAGUGAAAGACGGUUUUGCUGUCACUUAUAGAUGGAUCCGCGCCGCAUUAGCUAGUUGGUAAGGUAACGGCUUACCAAGGCAACGAUGCGUAGCCGACCUGAGAGGGUGAUCGGCCACACUGGAACUGAGACACGGUCCAGACUCCUACGGGAGGCAGCAGUAGGGAAUCUUCCGCAAUGGGCGAAAGCUUGACGGAGCAACGCCGCGUGAGUGAUGAAGGUCUUCGGAUCGUAAAACUCUGUUAUUAGGGAAGAACAAAUGUGUAAGUAACUAUGCACGUCUUGACGGUACCUAAUCAGAAAGCCACGGCUAACUACGUG
rnacentral:rRNA from 1 species